rnacentral:rRNA from 1 species
AGUGAACGCUGGCGGUAGGCCUAACACAUGCAAGUCGAACGGCAGCACAGUAAGAGCUUGCUCUUACGGGUGGCGAGUGGCGGACGGGUGAGGAAUACAUCGGAAUCUACUUUUUCGUGGGGGAUAACGUAGGGAAACUUACGCUAAUACCGCAUACGACCUACGGGUGAAAGCAGGGGAUCUUCGGACCUUGCGCGAUUGAAUGAGCCGAUGUCGGAUUAGCUAGUUGGCGGGGUAAAGGCCCACCAAGGCGACGAUCCGUAGCUGGUCUGAGAGGAUGAUCAGCCACACUGGAACUGAGACACGGUCCAGACUCCUACGGGAGGCAGAAGUGGGGAAUAUUGGACAAUGGGCGCAAGCCUGAUCCAGCCAUACCGCGUGGGUGAAGAAGGCCUUCGGGUUGUAAAGCCCUUUUGUUGGGAAAGAAAAGCAGCAGGUUAAUACCCCGCUGUUCUGACGGUACCCAAAGAAGAAGCACCGGCUAACUUCGU